UAAAAAAUUUCGGUAACAAGC
rnacentral:piRNA from 1 species